CCAGUAUACAUAAAGAGUCAUAUGCUGCCUUUGCUAUUAAUGAAGAGACACCUGCGUAACAUUGAACAAUAUAUGGUACUGUUUCACUGGGAGCAGCUAGCACAGACACUUGUGUGAGAGUAUCUUUUAACAUAUUUCAACUCUUUUCAACUUCCCCUGUCCAAAUGAUCUUAUCUUUUAUACUUUUAUCUUUUAUACUUUAACAUAUUGCAUAAGGGUUUUGC